GACGAACGCUGGCGGCGUGCUUAACACAUGCAAGUCGUACGGUAAGGCCCUUUCGGGGGUACACGAGUGGCGAACGGGUGAGUAACACGUGCGUAACCUGCCCACAACUUUGGGAUAACGCUAGGAAACUGGUGCUAAUACUGGAUAUGUGCUCCUGCUGCAUGGUGGGGGUUGGAAAGCUCCGGCGGUUGUGGAUGGACUCGCGGCCUAUCAGCUUGUUGGUGGGGUAGUGGCCUACCAAGGCGGCGACGGGUAGCCGGCCUGGGGGGGUGACCGGCCACAUUGGGACUGAGAGACGGCCCAAGCUCCUACGGGAGGCAACAGGGGGGAAUAUUGCACAAGGGGCGCAAGGCUGAUGCAGCAACGCCGCGUGCGGGAAGACGGCCUUCGGGUUGUAAACCGCUUUCAGCAGGGACGAAGCUUUUUGUGACGGUACCUGCAGAAGAAGCACCGGCUAACUACGUG
rnacentral:rRNA from 1 species